CGGCGUCGCGGGGGCGGAUACUGGCCUCCCGUGCGCCUCGCGCCCGCGGCCGGCCUAAAUGCGAGUCCACGUCGACGGACGUCGCGGCAAGUGGUGGUUGUAACUCAACUCUCUUGGUGCCGCGGCCACAGCCCGUCGCGCGUGCGUGCUCGACGACCCUGCCG
rnacentral:rRNA from 1 species